GUGGCUGCAUCAUGUUCUGGGUAUGCUUCUCAUCGGCAAGACUAGAGUUUUUUUUCAGGAUAAAAUAAACACAAUAGAGAUUAGCACAGGCAAAAUCCUAGAGGAAAACCAGGGGCCUGUUGCACAAAAGUAGAAUUAAGACAUCCGGGAUAAAUGACUCAGCUGAGCUCAAUGAAGCCAAAACAUGUGCGUCCAGGCUUAAUUGGUUGCACAAAGACCAAGCCAGGAUGAGCAGACACGGAUUCAUUAAACCAGGUGAAACCAAUCCUGGAUAGGUGCGCGCUCACGGCUCACUCAAAUAGACCCCGCCACAGAUCACAGAUUAACUGAUUUACCAUGGCAACUAGAGCCGCGUACUUUUCCCCGUCGGAAGCACAAAUCCUCAUGGAGGCAUACGAGGAGGUAAAAUAUAUAAUUAAGAAGAAAGGCAACACCGCCACAGUGAUAAAGCAAUUUGAAAAAGCGUGGCAAAGUAUUGCAGACCGCCUGAAUGCAUUAAACAUGAACGGGCCAAAACGGACAUGGCAGCAGGUCAAAAUCAAAUACAAGAACAUUCUGCAGAAUGCAGUGAAAAAGAAUACCCACAGACAAGGCACGGGUGGUGGGUCACCAAAGGCUGACCUUACCCCAGCAGAGGACAUGGCCUUGGAGCUAAAUAAAGGCAGGCCCGUCUUAGAGGGGAUCCCUGGGGGGAAAGAGACGAGCAUAGGUUCCUCCCAAGAUGCCACCCGCUUCAUUCAAGUGUCUGGCAGCACUGUGUUCCUGUUAGAGCCACCAGCACAAGCACCAGACGAUGCUGAUCCAGGUGAAGGCCCCAGUGCAGCAGCAACAGCACAUGAUGGAGACGAUGAUGAGGAGGAGACCAUCUCUCUGGAUUCCAGAAGGCAUGAGGACCCAGAUGCUAUACAGUGGGAAAACCAGCCUGGCAACAUAGUGCGUAUUAAUAAAAGGACACCACAUCCUGCCAAAUUCCAGCUGCGCUAAUUGUAUUGUGUUCACAGAGCUCACAAGCUAUCAGAAAGUUGUAUGGCAACCACCUCCGGCGCCAAAUAGAACUGGCAGACAUAGACAUUCAGUACAAGAAGAAAAAGAUGGAAAAUCUUGCACUGGAGUCCGAAAUAAAAAAGAGGACAAUUAGGAAACUGGACCUUGAAAUAAAAAAACUUGAGAGGGAGCUCCAAGAAGAUGACACAGCUCAAAAUACAAAUUAGGUAUAUUCUCGUAAAGUCAAGUGAGCCAUGACAUAUGAGCUCUUAUUGUGAGCACACAGGACGGUGGCAUCUUUCUAAGGUUUUUUUUAUUUUCCCAGCAAUCAGUACAACCAAGUCAUCGUUAUAAGGCAUCGCCCUCUUUUGCCCACCCC
rnacentral:lncRNA from 1 species